GAUGAACGCUGGCGGCGUGCUUAAUACAUGCAAGUCGAGCGAACAGACGAGUAGCUUGCUCCUCUCACGUUAGCGGCGGACGGGUGAUUAACACGUUGCUAUCCUAUCUAUAAUACUGCUGUGACUUCGGGACUCCGGAGCUAAUACCGGAUCAUAUAUUUAACCGCAUGGUUCAAUAGUUAACGACGCUUUUUCUGUCACUUAUCGAUCGAUCCGCGCCGCAUUAGCUAGUUUGUCAGGUAACGGCUUACCAAGGCAACGAUGCGUAGACGACCUGAGAGGGUGAUAGGCGACACUGGAACUGAAACGCGGUCCAGACUCCUACGGGAGGCAGCAGUAGGGAAUGGUACGCAAUAGGCGAAAGCCUGACGGAGCAACGGCGCGUGAGAGAUGAAGGUCUUCGGAGCGUAAAACUCGGUUAUGAGGGAAGAACAAAUGUGUAAGUAACUAUGGAGGUCUUGACGGUACCUGAACAGAAAGCCACGGCUAACUACGUG
rnacentral:rRNA from 1 species